GACGAACGCUGGCGGCGUGCUUAACACAUGCAAGUCGAACGGAAAGGCCCUGCUUUUGUGGGGUGCUCGAGUGGCGAACGGGUGAGUAACACGUGAGUAACCUGCCCUUGACUUUGGGAUAACUUCAGGAAGCUGGGGCUAAUACCGGAUAGGAGCUCCUGCUGCAUGGUGGGGGUUGGAAAGUUUCGGCGGUUGGGGAUGGACUCGCGGCUUAUCAGCUUGUUGGUGGGGUAGUGGCUUACCAAGGCUUUGACGGGUAGCCGGCCUGAGAGGGUGACCGGCCACAUUGGGACUGAGAUACGGCCCAGACUCCUACGGGAGGCAGCAGUGGGGAGUAUUGCACAAUGGGCGGAAGCCUGAUGCAGCAACGCCGCGUGCGGGAUGACGGCCUUCGGGUUGUAAACCGCUUUCGCCUGUGACGAAGCGUGAGUGACGGUAAUGGGUAAAGAAGCACCGGCUAACUACGUG
rnacentral:rRNA from 1 species